GACACAAGGCCAACUUUCUCCCUCUCCUUCUCCACUAUGAAUCCUGAAAGAAGUGAAGUCAGAAGAGUGACCUUGGAUUUGUAUCACUGAUGGCAAGAACAACAUCUGCCUGAAAGUGGAAUGAAAAAACUUGCACUGAAAAAAACCUGUCCCAGGUAAGCGCGGGAUGCAGCGGAGACUGGCACAGCACAAGCCGUUGCACGGAGGAUUCCAGCCCAAGACAGCACACGAGGCUGCACGUUUUUCCACCCCCUUCAGCCCUUCUGCUGAGACCGCCCGUGCUAGUGCCACCUGAGAGAUGAAUUUUGGUAACUCAUCUAAGACCACUGUAAGCAGCAGGCACCCAGGCUUUACGGAAGCCGGCGCAGCACCGCGGCACUGGCACCGUCGUGCAACUAAACCGGCAUCGCUGGAGACCUGACGCUGCUGCUUCUGCCCAGCAUUUCACUAACCUUUAAUACCCCCUCCCCAACAGACUAAAAGGCGUACAGUUUAUUCUGGGGACUAGUGUUUACAAAUCAGCCAAAGAUGAAAGGUUUCCCUGCCAGUGGCAGAGGAGCAAGAGAAGAGAAAGCGAUACUGACUAUUGGUCCACUUACAUCAUUGGGAAUAGUAAGUUCAUGGGAACUGGUUGGAGUAGUGGCAUCCAGUCCUAUUCAGGGGACAGAGGGAAAAUGUUACGCCAGUUGUUUGCAAGAAGGGCAAGACACAGCAAAUGGUAUUUUAAAGAAGGAAACAUACAGGAGGAAGGAGGAAAAAAAAAAAAAAAAAGAGGAGCAAAGAAAAAUAGAGAACUGCUAGUGAAACAGAAAAGAAAGCAAGAGAUGCAAAACUCAGAGGGCUGGACUAAUUUUAAAUGAGUCUUAUUUUAAUUAACCUUUAAGCCACCAAAGCAACAAAUGUCACAUGAGAUUCCACAGGGUCAUAAAAACCUUCUAGAAAAUGAAGGGUUUCCCCUAAAAAUAGUCUCUGAAGUUUGUUCUAAACACAUCAAUUGAGAAAUUAAUGGAUGGCUGAAAUUUGACCUGUCUACCAGGAAUUCUAGAAUAUGGAAAAUGGAAGUGGAAGUCAAAUGAACAAUUAGCAAAACAAAAUACAUAGAUACAAAAAAGAAAAAUUAAUGAAUUAAAAUAAGGAUGAGGAAAUUAACCUAGGAAAAUUUGGAAAUUAUAUGUGGGAUUAGCUGCUGAAGAAAUGUUGGGAAGGGUAAUUUUGAAGGGAAAUGUACAAAAUACUCUAAGCUGCAUACAUUUGUUUGUAAAUUGGGUGGACAAAAGGAAAAUGCUCAGGAAAAAUGCAAUUACUGCUCUAACACAGAGUAACAGAAACGUACAUGUCACAAAUAUAACCAGGAAAAGAUUAAGGAGCAGCAUGUUAAUGACAAGAAUAAGGAAAAUAUAAAGCUAGGAAAGGCAAUUUAGUAUUACUUGUAGAUAUUUUAUCAGAUACAUCAUGAAGAAACAAAAGUAUAUUUUGGAUGUCAUGUCUCUUUCUCUCCUUUUCUCUUUUUUUGGUGUUGUUUAUUAUUAUUGUCUGUAAAGACAUGCCAAAAAUACUCAUUUCCAACUAGAAAAGAUGGAAAAGAAAUACUCUUACAAAAAAGUGAGUCACCUACAUUUUACUUAUGUUUACAUUCAAUUAAGAGUUGCAUAUGCUUAUUUUACAUUGAAUAUAAAACAACCAAGUUGCUCACAGAAUUUGAUGUAUGUGAUAAAAUGUUAUUUGCCAUACAAAGCAUGUACCAGUACCUCUGUAAUUCUGUUUUGUGGAGUUUUUAGAUGUCAAGCAUGUAUUAAGUGAAGUACAGUAAAAAUGAUUUAUGGCAGGGUUAACUGACUUCUCACACUUGAAUCAAGAAUUUAGCUUCAGCUUUAGUAAGUACAGACCAAAAUUGCAGUCUUUAAUUUAACUAAAUUUCCAUUGCAUUUUGUGGCUCUAUCUGCAUAUCUAGUAGGAAGAGGCACUUGUCCCAGCAGCGAUGAUUACAGAUGAUCUUAAGACAUUUGGCUCUACAAGGAAUUUGAGUUUCAGCGUGCUGUAAUUUCUUUAAUCAGUAUUUCUAUACCACGAUUACAGACUGUUUUCCUAUGUUUACUUCUUUCUGAAGCAUGUUACCAAACUAGAAAUUUGACAAGACGCAUGCCCAAAUACUUCACUCGGGACCGGCUGGUACAUACUGUAUGGUCCAUAACAACUUUACUUAACAGGGACUGAACAAAAGAAACUCAGGGCUUUUAGCUAAUGGCACAAAUGAAGCGGUUUUGAUUAAUAAAUGUACCAAACAAAGCAUGUUUUAGUAAUGAUGAAAGGAACUGUAACAGAGGUACGGGAGGGAAGAACAGAGAUUAAUGUGUAAAAACAGAAGGAUUGCUGGUCAUUGACCACAUUUAUUAUUAAAAUGAUGUAAUGACCAUGGGAAACAAAGCUGUUAAGAAGAAGGACAUCCCCAGGGGGUCAUGGGUACGUACCAGGGAAACCAGGGGUGGUCUGCCCAAGGGGAGUAAAGGGGGGAUGCUGCAUAGCCAACUGGUGAAGCUUGGUCAACUGCAGGGCAGGAUGGGAAAUUAGAACUAACCAAUCAAAUGGAAUUAUUUCAGAGCAGAGAAACCAUCUUACAUGUUCUAAAACUGGAUUAAUUAAAAUUAUAUUGGAAAAAAAAAAAAGGUUUAAUCAUUCAUUCUAAUCUAACGUAGAGGAAAAAAAACCAAACUGGUUAUAAAUGACAUCUCUACUGUUAUUACAU